CUGUCACGUGGGGAAGGAAACGCUUCAGGUUAAUAGCCUGAAGCCUGACUUAACCGGAGAGGAAGCAGUGGCUAACUCUGUGC
rnacentral:rRNA from 1 species